UCGGUCAAGCUAAAAGAUGGGGUAAAACUAAAAACUUCAUGAUUUAAAAAGCAUUUUCUAGACUUUCCGCAUUACCUUGACCUUUAAUUGUGAAGUGGGCUUCUCUGCAACUGCACCGACUGCAUUAUUAGUAUAUGGAAUAUUAUUGAAUACCUGCCGAACUCCGCAACGACCUUCUGUAACGUCGAUCCAUUCGAGCCAACUUCCGGUUUUAUAAUAAGUACACCUCUUGGAUACCAGAAAAAUAUUAGAAAUAAAUUGACCAAAAUUUAAAAACAAAAAAAAGCAGCAGCACGCGAUGCGCAGAAAAACUAAAACAAAACGGAAUGGAAUAAAACAAAAUGGCAAUGUUUGUGGCAGCAUAAAGUACCAAUACCCAUCAAAAUAAACAUACAGUAAACUGUCCAUAACAUAAACACAACAAAAAUAAUAAUCCUUUGCACUUAUAAAAAAGAGUUGCCAUAAAUGAAGUCUCCUGGCGGUAACUUAGAUCAAAAUAAUUGGAAAUUAGUAGAUUGGACUUAUGAAUGUUCGACUGUGCUACCAAAAUACUCUCACCUGUCGCUCUCUAUUAAAACAUCCAUCUUGUUCCUCUCUAUAACAAAAACACAAACAAAUACAAGACAUUUCCACAUCUAA